UACAGAGGGGGCAAGCGUUGUUCGGAAUUACUGGGCGUAAAGGGCGCGUAGGCGGCCUGCUAAGUCGAACGUGAAAUCCCCGGGCUCAACCCGGGAACUGCGUCCGAUACUGGCAGGCUUGAAUCCGGGAGAGGGAUGCGGAAUUCACGGUGUAGCAGUGAAAUGCGUAGAUAUCGUGAGGAACACCAGAGGCGAAGGCGGCUACCUGGACAAUUGCUGACACUCAGGCACGAAAGCGUGGGGAGCAAAAGGG
rnacentral:rRNA from 1 species